rnacentral:rRNA from 1 species
AUCGAACGCUGGCGGCAGGCCUAAUACAUGCAAGUCGAACGAGUGGCGGACGGGUGAGCAAUGUCUGGGAACCUGCCUAACGGAGGGGGACAACUACUGGAAAACGUAGCUAAUACCGCUUACCAUCAGAUGUGCCCAGAUUGGAUUAGCUUGCUGGUGGGGUUACGGCUCACCAAGGCGACGAUCCAUACCCGGUCUGAGAGGAUGACCGGCCACACUGGAACUGAGACACGGUCCAGAAUCCGACGGGAGGCAGCAGUAGGGAAUAUUGCGCAAUGGGCGAAAGCCUGAUGCAGCAAUGCCGCGUGUGUGAAGAAGGCCUUCGGGUUGUAAAAUACUUUCAGCUGGGAAGCGUUACCCACACAGGAAGCACCGGCUAACUCCGUGCCAGCAGCCGCGGUAAUAC